rnacentral:tRNA from 1 species
GACACUUUGGCCGAGUGGUUAAGGCGAUGCCCUGCUAAGAAGGCCUUGUAUAAGGCAGAUUAGAUAAGGCAUUACUCUCGAGUGCGCAGGUUCGAAUCCUGCAGGUGUCG